UCUUAGGGAUAAGAAAAUAAAGUGGUUUCUUGAUAUGGAAUCUACUCCUGGUGAAGAUGCUGUGAG
rnacentral:pre_miRNA from 1 species